rnacentral:rRNA from 1 species
UACGGAGAGUGCGAACGUUGCUCGGAUUCACUGGGCGUAAAGGGCACGUAGGCGGCCCGGCAAAUCAGUCGUGGAAUCCCGACGCUUACCGUCGGAACGGCGGCUGAAAAUACCGGGCUAGAGGGCGUGAGGGGUCACUGGAGCUCCCGGUGAAGCGGUGAAAUGCGUAGAUAUCGGGAGGAACGCCGGAGGCGAAAGCGAGUGACUGGCGCGUUCCUGACGCUGAGGUGCGAAAGCUAGGGGAGCAAACAGG